CGGGUUUCCAGAGUAAAGCUGAUCUGCUCUGGGUAAGUCGGGGCCUAAGGUAAGGCUGAGAAGCGUAGCCGAUGGACAACAGGUUGAGAUUCCUGUACCGCGUAUCAUCAGAACUGUGGGGACACAGAAGGACAGCACAACCCGGGAAUGGAAAGACCGGGGCAAGCAGGGUAGGAGUUAAGCUGGCAAAUCCGCUUAACAAUCCGAAGCUGUGAUGCGGAGCGAAUUUAAGUAGCGAAGUGUGCGAUUCCGGCUGUCAAGAAAAGCCGCUAUUGUGUGAUACGUGCCCGUACCGUAAACCGACACAGGUAGAUGAGGAGAGAAUCCUAAGGCCGGCGGGAGAAGCAUUGUUAAGGAACUCGGCAAAAUGACCCUGUAACUUCGGGAGAAAGGGUGCCUGGGAAACCAGGCCGCAGAGAAUAGGCUCAAGCAACUGUUUAGCAAAAACACAGGUCUAUGCAAAACCGUAAGGUGAGGUAUAUGGGCUGACGCCUGCCCGGUGCUGGAAGGUUAAGAGGAGGGGUUAGCGCAAGCGAAGCUCUGAAUUGAAGCCCCAGUAAACGGCGGCCGUAACAAUAACGGUCCUAAGGUAGCGAAAUUCCUUGUCGGGUAAGUUCCGACCCGCACGAAAGGCGUAAUGAUUUGAGCGCUGUCUCGACAAUGCACCCGGUGAAAUUGAAAUACCAGUGAAGAUGCUGGUUACCUGCGCCAGGACGGGAAGACCCCAUGGAGCUUUACUCCAGCUUGAUACUGGGAUUCGGUACUGCAUGUACAGGAUAGGUGGGAGACUGAGAACUAUGAACGCCAGUUUGUAGGGAGUCGCUGUUGGGAUACCACCCUUGCGGUAUUGGAUUUCUAACCUGCAGCCGUGAACCGGCUGGGGGACAAUGUCAGGCGGGGAGUUUGACUGGGGCGGUCGCCUCCGAAAGGGUAUCGGAGGCGCUCAAAGGUUCCCUCAUAAUGGUUGGAAACCAUUAGAAGAGUGCAAAGGCAUAAGGGAGUUUGACUGCGACACCGACGGGUGGAGCAGGUAGGAAACUAGGACUUAGUGAUCCGGUGGUAUGAAAGUGGGAUUGCCAUCGCUCAACGGAUAAAAGCUACCCUGGGAUAACAGGCUUAUCACUCCCAAGAGUUCACAUCGACGGAGUGGUUUGGCACCUCGAUGUCGGCUCAUCGCAUCCUGGGGCUGUAGCAGGUCCCAAGGGUUGGGCUGUUCGCCCAUUAAAGCGGUACGCGAGCUGGGUUCAGGACGUCGUGAGACAGUUCGGUCCCUAUCCGGCGCGGGCGUAAGAUAUUUGAGAGGAGUUGUCCUUAAUACGAGAGGACCGGGAUGGACGGGCCGCUGGUGUACCUGUUGGAGUGCCAACUCCAUGGCAGGGUAGCCAAGCCCGGACGGGAUAAACGCUGAAGGCAUCUAAGCGUGAAGCCCCCCUCAAGAUGAGAUAUCUCAUACGCAAGUAGUAAGACCCCUUGAAGACGACGAGGUAGAUAGGUCAGAGGUGGAAGUGUGGUAACACAUGGAGCUGACUGAUACUAAUCGGUCGAGGGCUUGACCUG
rnacentral:rRNA from 1 species